AACGAACGCUGGCGGCAUGCCUAACACAUGCAAGUCGAACGAGACCUUCGGGUCUAGUGGCGCACGGGUGCGUAACGCGUGGGAACCUGCCCUUAGGUUCGGAAUAACUCCCCGAAAGGGGUGCUAAUACCGGAUCAUGUCUUCGGACCAAAGAUUUAUCGCCUUUGGAUGGGCCCGCGUUGGAUUAGCUAGUUGGUAGGGUAAAAGCCUACCAAGGCGACGAUCCAUAGCUGGUCUGAGAGGAUGAUCAGCCACACUGGGACUGAGACACGGCCCAGACUCCUACGGGAGGCAGCAGUGGGGAAUAUUGGACAAUGGGCGAAAGCCUGAUCCAGCAAUGCCGCGUGAGUGAUGAAGGCCUUAGGGUUGUAAAGCUCUUUUACCCGGGAUGAUAAUGACAGUACCGGGAGAAUAAGCUCCGGCUAACUCCGU
rnacentral:rRNA from 1 species